CCUACGGGUGGCAGCAGUGAGGAAUAUUGGUCAAUGGACGGAAGUCUGAACCAGCCAUGCCGCGUGCAGGAUGACGGCCCUAUGAGUUGUAAACUGCUUUUGUACGAGAAUAAUAGUCCUUACGUGUAGGGUUUUGUAUGUAUCGCACGAAUAAGGAUCGGCUAAUUCCGUGCCAGCAGCCGCGGUAAUACGGAGGAUUCGAGCGUUAUCCGGAUUUAUUGGGUUUAAAGGGUGCGUAGGCUGUCUGAUAAGUUAGAGGUCAAAUGUCGGGGCUUAACCCCGUGCCUGCGUCUGAUACUGUUCGACUUGAGAGCGGAUGCAGCAGGCGGAAUGAGUAGUGUAGCGGUGAAAUGCUUAGAUAUUACGAAGAACACCGAUGGCGCAGGCAGCUUGCUAAUCCGCAUCUGACGCUGAUGCACGAAAGCGUGGGUAGCGAACAGGAUUAGAUACCCGAGUAGUC
rnacentral:rRNA from 1 species